GUGGCCCACGGCUGACCCAAUGCGGCAGGAGCCCUGUGAUUGUCAGCUUCCCCUCAGCAACACGCACAUGGUGAUGCACUCAGCAGUUCCCUAAUUAGCAUUUCCAGACACAGUGACCACAUUGCAGUGACACCUACCGAGAUCUUGGUGAAGAUGUAGAGGAUGAGAGACAGGACAGACAUGUACACCUGGAUCCUCUGGCCCCCAAAUCGCUUCUUCAGAUACUGCGGCA
rnacentral:lncRNA from 1 species